UCGACAGAAGUUUUUUUACACGAUUCAUCUUUUCCCUCUAUUUUUUCUCUCCUUCCUUCCCAAUAAAUUGAUUUUCUUCGAAAGAAAGUGAACCUGUAAGAGGCAAAUGCAAUAUAUACAAGUGACUUGGAAGCUGCGACUAGUAUCAGUCCUCAGUUACAUAAACGGUCGAUAGUACAAGCAUUUCUCCACCAAGCAAAAAAUCACUCGCUAAAAAGUGUCACCUCCAAGUAUCGAAGUAUGAAUUUAAAAAAUGAUAACUUUCAUUUGAAGAAUAUGCCAUUGUUCCUUAUACAGUUGUAUUUAUAAAGUAUUUUCCCACCGUAAUGAAUUCGUUUCGUAUCGACAUUACAUGUACAUAAGUAUUUAAGUAUGCAUGCAGAACAUAAUCCCAUAAUCGAUAGUGUGUAGCGGUAAAACGCGGGACAAUUUAAAAAUAGUUGUGUUGUAUCUUAUAUCACAAUUGCUAAGAGUAUCCACAAAUAUCUGCGGAAACGAAUCUUUCGCUUAGAUCCUUUUAGAAGCAUCAUAUCACUGUUUCAUGAUACGAAAUUAGUUUUCGUUCGCAUGAUUAUUUAUGAAGUACAUAAAACAACUUUAUACAAGUAAGCAUUGAAUGUACUUUUAAUUUAAAGUAAUUAUUGAAAGUAUAUACAAAAAUUCGAUAUAUUAAACUGUCAUAAUACAGUACAAUAUGUAUACGCCUCUCUGUUUUGCUUCGAUGUCGUAAUUACAAAAGCUGAAGAGAAGAUGUUACAAAAUGUACAACCAAAUACAUUAUACAUAAUUCAAAAUCAUCUUUCUUUCGCGUUCGUUCUAGCCUAGUCGAAUCGAGUCAAGUCGAAUAGAUUCGAAAAUGCAAUGCCACGCUGUAUCGAAUCAAGGCAAAGCGAGACGAGGUAGGAUGGAGGCGGACCUGGCCGGGCGAGACGAGCGACGAGGGGCGAGAGACGAGAACGAGGGACCAGAGACGAGAAACGAGAAACGAGAAACGAGAAACGAGAAACGAGAUACGAAAUACGAGAGAUGAGCCGAAUCCAGCCGAACUUCACUUGGCGCAAAGUUUAAUCAACGAAUACAUAAUAUGUUAUAGUUUUACGCAGAUAAUAUUUAAAACUAAUUGUAAUUGUUUAUGUACAUACAUAUAUAUGUAUAUAUAUAAAAAUAUAUAUAUAUACAUAUAAAGGUAUAAAAAUAUUUUAUUGUCAGUACGUAGUGAGUAAUGUCGACAAAUCGAUCAUUAAAUUGUCGAGUUUAACACGU